GAAUUUGACGCACGCGCCGACGCUCUGGGUGAACAUUUUUGCAGCUAAUGAAGGAGAAGACGCUCGCUUGCCGAAGACACAAAAGGCAGCUUAAAGGCAGAACAACAUUGACAAUCAGGGCUGCAGUCAAAUCUCUGGCGAGUUAGCCUUGCUUUUUAUUUUUUUUUUGGAAGAGCAGCCGCACCGCAGCCCGAGGUUUUCAGAAGCUCUGUUUAUCGAUUCUUUAGCGCAACCUUAUAAUUAAUUAGGAACAGAAGCAUAUCAUUAAGGAGGAAAAAAGAAAAAAAAAAACCCCGCUGAUGUCAUUCUCAGGGCCUGGUUACCGAGCAGAUUUGCUCACAUUCACUUCGCCACAUUGUGACGUUACCUUCUCGUGAACACCAAUGAAGUUCUUUUCACCCGCUUGCACGCCAUUCUUACCUCUUUGCCGGACAGGUAGUACGCCGACAGAAGGCCUCCCACGAAGCGGAUGUUCACCUCGAAGACGGACACUUCGGCAUUCUGGGAGGCCAAGAUGAGAGAGACCGCAAAGAUUUAAAAACUCAGACACCGAAGCUAGUUUGACUUAGCAACGGGAAAUGUCAUUCUCGUUGCUUUCCUAUUAGUGUGCAUCACACACACGGGCGGGUCGCGACUACCAACAGGCUCUGGACUGCGGCGAGAUUGCGUUUAGCAUUCAGCGGCUUCAGUCUCGACAAGACGGUUCCGGCGACUCGUCCUUCCUUCCACCUUUGUACGAGUCUCUGGAGCGCUCCUCCUGUUUGGCACUGAGUGUCCACGAGAGUGAUACAGAUGACUCCGACAGUGACCUGAAUACUAAUAUUAUCUCCCCCCCCCCCCCUUUUCUUUUCUGUGACUGAUACUAGAGCAAAUGGUAAGAGUGCAGUUUGAUUCUGGAAGGUCAUAGCUUUUCUUCCUUCCUUCUUGGUUUCUGCUGAUUUAUUCCGUUUUUAUUUGGGAGUACAAUGCUAGCUCCAAUUCCCCACCUUGCAGUCUCUUUGUAUUCACUGUUUGUUCUGUCGGGGCGCCAUGGGACGACAACGCGUUUGUUGUGUGUGAAGAAACACAAACAGGGGAAGAAAGAAGAAAAAAAAAUCAAUUGUUAAUUCCUUUUUUUUACAUUUUACUUGGAUUGGAGAAGAACCUCAGGGGAUGUUUCUAUAGCAGCUUAUGGCGCAGCUUACACCUGGGGUAUGACAGGACAAGUUUUUGGAGUAAGAGCAGAUGAUUUUAAAAUGUUUUAAGAAGCUUAAAAUGUUUUUUUUUUUGUAAACCGCCAGCGGGCCUGGAACACGCCAUAAACAACUCUACAAUAAAGUUAUUCCUGCUGGGCCUACAUCAUCUUU